rnacentral:rRNA from 1 species
AGUGAACGCUGGCGGCGUGCUUAACACAUGCAAGUCGAACGAGAAAACACCUUCGGGUGUGAGUAGAGUGGCGCACGGGUGAGUAACGCGUAGGUAAUCUACCUUUUACUAAGGGAUAGCCUUUAGAAAUGAAGAUUAAUACCUUAUAGUAUUAUUGAUUGGCAUCAAUUAAUAAUUAAAGAUUUAUUGGUAAAAGAUGACUAUGCGUUCUAUUAGUUAGUUGGUGAGGUAACGGCUCACCAAGACAGCGAUAGAUAGGGGUCCUGAGAGGGAGAUCCCCCACACUGGUACUGAGACACGGACCAG